CAGCCUUUGACCCAGCAGUUGCUCUCCGGGGACUCUUUGCAGAGGAAAUGAGCAGGAAGACCCAGACAUUGAGCUGUCGGCGUUGGCUACAAGCAGUACAGUGCCAGGUAAACUGGCCAUUGGAAACAGGCAGUGUAGGCCGUGUCAUCAGAGAGUCCUUCCUGCCGUGAGUUUCCACAACUCUGCCAUGUGAUCCCUGGUUCCUGUCGCACCCUGCGUGGGUCCGGCUGUGCAGGACAUGUGCUCUGGGCCUGAGGAGGAGGUACAUCUGGCUGGAGCUUUCCUUUGGUCUGGAAGCCCUUGGUGGGUCUCCCGUAAACGCCCCGGGAAUGCCCCGAAAGGUCCAGGCUGCCCACCCUCCACACCGCACACACUGUCUCUGCCACCUGGACCCGCCUGGCUCUCCUCUGACCGGUGGAUUUCUCCUCUCUCCAAGUUAGACCCAAACACC